GGGAGCUCUGCUCACAGUUGGACAAUGCUAAGGAAAUGCUGCAUUCUGGCGUCAGCUGCUGUAUUCAAACUGUGCCUCUGUGGGUGAUCAGCUCUGCUUUGGUGCUUGGGCAUUUGUUUAUUUUGUACUGGGCGUGACGCUACUGCACAUCCCAGAGUGAACUGAGCAUUGGAUUAGAGACAGAUGUUGAACACCUGUGCGCUGCCGGGCGGGGAAGCUUCCUUGCGGCCUAGAUGAUACUAGCGGGCGGACCGAUUGUGCUCUGUGGUCUGGCGGGUGGCGCAGCUGUUUCGCUUUAGUUAUUUGUUUCAUUCAGUUUUCCAGUUCCUCCCCCCACGUGGGCUCUGCACGGACCACUGCACGGUGUCGGAGGCUUUCCCACUCUCAGCGUGGGAGUCCAGAGGGGAAAACAACUGUGUUUUAAUUAAGUGGUUUUUAAUGAUUGAUCGUUUGUAACUCCCCUUUUCUUUUGUGCAGGCUGGGACAGGAGGUGGUGGCCUCGGUGGUGGCGGUCCCGUUUGUGUGUGUGCUGGUGCUGGUGCUGGGUUCCCUCACGUUGGAGUGAAUUUCACUGUUGCCUGGGGUGACUUUAUUAUAUUUUAUUGCACUUGUUUCUUUUUGGGAUUCACCACCCUGUGUGUCAUUCCCUCCUACAGCUAGUCUCAGUCCUGCAAGUUAUUCCCUGUGUGUCUUGUUUUUAAUCAGAGAAAUUUUUAACCAUAUACAUAUAUUUUAUUUUUUUUUUAUAAAUCAAUAGUAACUUUUGGAACCACGUCUCAUGCCUCAUUUAGUGGAAGGAACCUAUGUGCUGCAUUGUUGACAACUGUUGGCUGCUCCCUGAAAAAAUAAAAGGUUACAGUGUGUUUGGAGCAUGCCAUAUCUAUAGCUCCCUUGUGUAUAGAGCUCCGGACCCCACGUGACUCUCAGUUAGUAGACGCCAUUUUGCAGGUAAAAAAAGGUAAACAAACACAUGAACGUUAACGGGAUCAGCUUGGAUUUUACUUCGUUGGAGUUUACUUCACACUUUAAAACCGAAGAAAUUGUUUUAUAUAGUCAGAAAUUAAAUAGACUAAACAUCUCCGACCCUUACCGUGUCCCUGGGAUACUUUUUAAAAACGCCAGAAGCUGUUGGAGCGGACUUCUUACCGGACCUGGCCGGGGAACCCCUUGGGAUUUACCCGGAGGAGGUGGCUCCGGCGGCUGGGGAGAGGGAAGUCAGGGCCUCUCGACGCUACUGCCCCCGCAACCCGACUCUGGAUAAGCGGAUGAAAAUGGAUGGAUGGACAAAUAACAGAUUUACACGUAAGUAGUUUAAAUAGAGUGCUGUGCUGUUUGAAUGUAUAAACUGAACGCCAAGAGAAAUCACUAGUUUGAUUUUUUUUUCUUCCGUGAAUAAAAUAAAUAUGUCAGGCAGGAGCGUCUCAGGAUCUGUCUGAGAUCUGUCUCGGUGAGACAGAUAAUAGCAAUCCAAAGUGCUUUUUAUGUGUGAUCUGACAAUUGAUCAACCAUUGCUUAAAAAUUAAAUACAGCUUAGCCGGUUAAUUGCUGUGAUCAUAAAACACGUAAACGGCAGCACGCAGAAAUCACGAGGCAACGUUUUACGUGAUGUUUACUUGUUGCUAUGAGUAAUAAGACAGAAAAAGCCACGCCAAAAUAAGUUUAGGAAGCCCGCUAAGAAUCGUAAUAAAAGCAUUUAAAAUAAAUACCAUACACAGUUGAGGAAACGUUAGUUUAAGUACCUGAUAUGAAGCGGUCGCUGCAUAAGCGAAAUCCUUUAC